rnacentral:sRNA from 1 species
GAAGAUGAACACGUCUGGAGACCCAGCCCAGACAGAAGGCUGUAGAGGCACCAUGAGUGCCGAGGAGGAUGCCAGGUGGCUCCGGUGGGUGACUCAGCAGUUUAAGACCAUUGCGGGAGAAGAUGGGGAGAUCAGCCUGCAAGAAUUCAAAGCAGCUCUGCAUGUAAAAGAGUCCUUCUUUGCAGAGCGAUUCUUUGCUCUAUUUGACUCCGAUAGAAGUGGCACCAUAACCCUCCAGGAGCUGCAGGAGGCACUGACCCUGCUCAUCCACGGCAGCCCCAUGGACAAACUCAAAUUCCUCUUCCAGGUGUAUGACAUUGAUGGUAAGGGCUCUUCCGGGGUGUGGGCUGGGGUGGGGAGAGCAGUGGGGUCCUCAGAGAGGACUGGCAAUUUAACCUUGGCAGGCCUGGAGGUGCCAUCUCGGCCUCCUUAGCCCAGCCUGGGACUGGUUUCUCCAGGUGAGGCUGACACUUCCUUUCCUCACAUCUCUCCCCUAGUCCCCAGUCUCUCUGUCUGAUCCCUGCCCCCCUUUCUGGGGCAGCAGGGAGAAAAGGAGGGACUCUGGCACAGGAGACAAAUGCCUUCUAUUCAACUUACCAGAGGCCAGAACCUUCUUCUGUUCUUUUCUAUGUCUGAAAAAGAAAAUCUCUGUUGUUUUUUCCUUUUCAUCAUAGUAUAAGCUCACUAUGAACAUUUUAGACAAUACAGAGUGGUAUAAAAAAGAACACAAAAAUCACCCGUAACAUUUUGCUAUAUUGCCUUCUAACUGGUUGCACAUACACACCCCACACACCUUUUUUUUUGUUAACAAAAUGGGAUUAUACUAUACAUACUGCCCUUUUUCACUUACAAAAAUGAACAUUUUGAAAUGUAAAAAUAUAUUGCUUUACAGUGUCAUUUUUAUUGUGGUAAAAUAUACAUAAUGUAAAAUUUGCCAUCUUAACCAUUUUUAAGUGUACAGGUUAGUGGCAUUAAUUAAAUACAUUCACAUUGCUGUGCCGCCAUCACCACCCUCCAUCUCCAGAACCUUUUCAUCCUUCCAUUGAAACUCCUUGCCCACUGAACACUGAAUCCCCAUGCCUCCUCCCCUAGUCCCUGGCAACCACCAUUCUAUUCAUACAUUCUGUCUCUAAGAAUCUGACUUUUCUAGGCACCUCAUCUAAGUGGGAUUAUACAAUAUUUGUCAUUUUGUAUCUGGCUUAUGUCACUUAGUAUAGUAUCCUCAAGCUUCAUCCGUGUCAUAGCAUGUGACAGAAUUUUCUUCCUUUUUAAGGCUGAAUAAUAUUCCAUUGUAGGUAUAUGCCAUAUUUUGUUUAUCCAUUCAUCAAUUAGUGGACAUUUGGGCUGUUUCUACCUUUUAACUAUCGUGAUUAAUGCUGCUAUGAACAUUGGUGCACAGAUAUCUGUUUGAGUUCCUGCUUUCAAUUCUUCCGGGUAUAUAUCCAGAAGGCGAAUUGCUGGAUGGCAUGGUAAUUCUAUUUUUAAUUUUUCGAGGAACGCCAUACUGUUUUCCACAGUGGCUGCAUUAUUUUACAUUCCUACCAGUAAUGUACAGGUGGUCCAAGUUCUCCACAUUCUUGCUAACACUUAUUUUCUGCUUUUUUUUUUUUUUCUGAGAUGGAGUCUUGCUCUGUUGCCCAGGCUGGAGAGCAGUGACAUGAUCUCAGCUCAUUGCAGCCUCCACCUCCCAGGUUCGAGUGAUUCUCCAGCCUCAGUCUCCCGAGUAGCUGAGACUACAGGCACCCACCACUAUGUCCACUAAUUUUUGUAUUUUUCGUAGAGAUAGGGUUUCACCAUGUUGGCCAGCCUGGUCUCGAACUCCUGGCCUCAAGUGAUCCACCCGCCUUGGCCUCCCAAAGUGCUGGGAUUACAGGUGUGAGCCACUGUGCUCGGCCUUAUAUUCUGCUUUUUGAUAAUAGCCAUCCUAAUGGGUGUGAAGUGGUAACUCACUGUACUUAUAGUGUCAUUUUCAGUGGCUGCAUUAUACUCCACUGCAUGUAUCAUGCAGCAUCGUGUAGUAUUUAAGACUCUAAGCACAAGCUACCUAAGUUCAAAUCUCAGUUCCAUCACUUAUUAUAUGAUCUUAGACAAGUUGCUUAACUUCUCUGUACCUCUAUUUAUCAAAUAUGAAUUAUGAUAAUAAUAAUUCAUACUUAUGGGGUUGAGAUGAAGGUUAAAUUAGUUAACUUAUGCACAAUGGGGAGCCAUCAAAGAGUGUUGAGCAAGGGAUUUGCAGGGAUGGACCUGCAUUCUGAAAAGCUUUUCUUCAGCAAUGUUCAUUUUGCUGCCCUGGUGCGGGAGGGCAGAAAACAGGUAGCUGGCUUUACCCAGGGAUGCGAUAUUCUUAGAGUCAGUAGAAUGGAAGGUUAGAGGGAGAAGGAAGGAGAAUGUGUACAUGAGAAUUAUUGUGAAGGAGGACCCUGGAUUUGAAAUUGGCCAACGGAGAGAUUAAAGCAGAUAGAAGAGGCCAUGAAGGGGCCAGGGGGAGACUGGUCCUCUGGAUGAGUCCAGAAACCUGCUGCCAUCGUGGCUGUUGACUAGGAAAGCAGAACAGGUGGUGUGACUGGAGAGUGGUAUAAUAUACUCUAAUAGAUUCUGCAUCGUAAUGUGAUUAUGGACUUCGUCUUGUGCCGGAAUGAUGACCACAACACCACUGAGAAUUUCCAUGUAUAUGCAAUUUCCUUCUUCCAGAUACUGCAUUAGGUGUUUUACCAUUAUCGAAUUUCCUUGAACCAGUUCUGAGAGGGAGAAAUGAUUACUCUCAUUUUAGAGAUGAGCAAAGUGAGGUCCACUACCCCAGAGGACUUAGAGCCCACUAUUGCACAGUUAAGGAGGGGCGGGAGCAGGAUGCCACACUGGGUGUGUCCAUAUCCAAAGCAGGCCAAGAAAUCAUUAAUCACGGGCUCUGCUGCUCAGGAAGAAUAAAAUAAAUACAGAAAAAUCUCAUCUCUGUUGGUAGUUUUGGCUUCCUUAUCCCAUCACUUUCAACCACCCAUGUUUACAUAAGGCCACACCGCUGGGCUGGAAUGCCUAGCUGUGGCCCCUCUCAAGACAACAUGAUAAACAGAGCAUUUGCUCCAAGUUGAACAACAAGGCACACUCCCUCAGCACUAACCCACAUACAGUGUGCCUUUGGAUAAUUGUGGCUGUGGGAACACAGCCCCUUAUAGAUAAGUAAGCAGGUGUAUUUUCUGGGCAGAUAGUCUUGGAGGCUGAGUAGUACUUAGGGAUCUACAGAUUCUGGAGACAGGCAUCCACUGAAGCCAAAGAUUCUCCACCCGUGGGGAGGCGACCAUUGCUGUUGAGCUAGGCAGUCGGGAACAUGGAAGGUUUCUGAGCUGAGGGUGACAUUUGGUCCUUCAGUUCCAUGGUCUAUACCCCCAAGGAGAGCUGACUGGCAGAAAGCUGGAGGUGGGUAAACAGAAGAGGCCCACCACUUCUUGCAGUGUGUGCAUGGCAGGGGGCGUCUGCAGGUACAGAAUGGGGUGCUGGGGCAGGCCCCCACUGGGCUUCAUCCCCACUCGGCACAGGCAGCGGCUCCAUUGACCCGGAUGAGCUGCGCACUGUGCUGCAGUCGUGUCUGCGCGAGAGCGCCAUCUCGCUGCCCGAUGAGAAGCUGGACCAGCUGACGCUGGCGCUGUUCGAAUCGGCCGACGCGGACGGCAACGGGGCCAUCACCUUCGAGGAGCUCCGGGACGAGCUGCAGCGCUUCCCCGGAGUCAUGGAGAACCUGACCAUCAGCGCUGCCCACUGGCUGACGGCCCCAGCCCCCCGCCCACGCCCGCGCCGGCCGCGCCAGCUGACCCGCGCCUACUGGCACAACCACCGCAGCCAGCUGUUCUGCCUGGCCGCCUACGCAGGCCUCCACGUGCUGCUCUUCGCGCUGGCGGCCAGCGCGCACCGGGACCUCGGCGCCAGCGUCAUGGUGGCCAAGGGCUGCGGCCAGUGCCUCAACUUCGACUGCAGCUUCAUCGCGAUGCUGAUGCUCAGACGCUGCCUCACCUGGCUGCGGGCCACGUGGCUGGCUCAAGUCCUACCACUGGACCAGAACAUACAGUUCCACCAGCUUAUGGGCUACGUGGUGGUGGGGCUGUCCCUCGUGCACACCGUGGCCCACACUGUGAACUUUGUGCUCCAGGCUCAGGCGGAGGCCAGCCCUUUCCAGUUCUGGGAGCUGCUGCUCACCACGAGGCCUGGCAUUGGCUGGGUACACGGUUCAGCCUCCCCAACAGGUGUCGCUCUGCUGCUGCUGCUCCUCCUCAUGUUCAUCUGCUCCAGUUCCUGCGUCCGCAGGAGUGGCCACUUUGAGGUGUUCUAUUGGACUCACCUGUCCUACCUCCUCGUGUGGCUUCUGCUCAUCUUUCAUGGGCCCAACUUCUGGAAGUGGCUGCUGGUUCCUGGAAUCUUGUUUUUCCUGGAGAAGGCCAUCGGACUGGCAGUGUCCCGCAUGGCAGCCGUGUGCAUCAUGGAAGUCAACCUCCUCCCCUCCAAGGUCACUCAUCUCCUCAUCAAGCGGCCCCCUUUUUUUCACUAUAGACCUGGUGACUACUUGUAUCUGAACAUCCCCACCAUCGCUCGCUAUGAGUGGCACCCCUUCACCAUCAGCAGUGCUCCUGAGCAGAAAGACACUAUCUGGCUGCACAUUCGGUCCCAAGGCCAGUGGACAAACAGGCUGUAUGAGUCCUUCAAGGCAACAGACCCACUGGGCCGUGGUUCUAAGAGGCUGUCGAGGAGUGUGACAAUGAGAAAGAGUCAAAGGUCAUCCAAGGGCUCUGAGAUACUUUUGGAGAAACACAAAUUCUGUAACAUCAAGUGCUACAUCGAUGGGCCUUAUGGGACCCCCACCCGCAGGAUCUUUGCCUCUGAGCACGCCGUGCUCAUUGGGGCAGGCAUCGGCAUCACCCCCUUUGCUUCCAUCCUGCAGAGUAUCAUGUACAGGCACCAGAAAAGAAAGCAUACUUGCCCCAGCUGCCAGCACUCCUGGAUCGAAGGUGUCCAAGACAACAUGAAGCUCCAUAAGGUGGACUUUAUCUGGAUCAACAGAGACCAGCGGUCUUUCGAGUGGUUUGUGAGCCUGCUGACUAAACUGGAGAUGGACCAGGCUGAGGAGGCUCAAUAUGGCCACUUCCUGGAGCUGCAUAUGUACAUGACAUCUGCACUGGGCAAGAAUGACAUGAAGGCCAUUGGCCUGCAGAUGGCCCUUGACCUCCUGGCCAACAAGGAGAAGAAAGACUCCAUCACGGGGCUGCAGACGCGCACCCAGCCUGGGCGGCCUGACUGGAGCAAGGUGUUCCAGAAAGUGGCUGCUGAGAAGAAGGGCAAGGUGCAGGUCUUCUUCUGUGGCUCCCCAGCUCUGGCCAAGGUGCUGAAGGGCCAUUGUGAGAAGUUCGGCUUCAGAUUUUUCCAAGAGAAUUUCUAGCCUCACCUCUCCAAGCUCUGCCCCAAAUCCACACCGUGGGUCUGCUUCAUUGCAUUAGUAUAAAUGUCCCCACAGGGACCAGCCUCAGACGACCCACCCAAUAAGACAAAGCCUAGGGACCCCCUAAUCCUGCUCAACACAGAGAACAGGAGACCCCAAGGGGCAGAUGAACUUCCUCUAGAACCCAGGGGAAGGGACAGUGCCUUGUUCAGUCUGCUAUAGAUUCUGGGGUUUCUGUGAAACAGGAAACCAGAGGCUGGUGAUGGGAGCUUGGGGGUGGGGUUCGAGGGGGCAGAGGGCAACCACUCCUCCAAACAUUUUCCGAUGGAGCCUUCCCCUACAUCCACGGUCCCAAACCUGCCCAAUCAUCACAGUCAUUUGGAAGCCUGUUUCUCCGGCAUCUUAUAAAAUUGUUCAAACAUAC